UACAGAGGGUGCAAGCGUUGUUCGGAAUUAUUGGGCGUAAAGCGCGUGUAGGCGGCUUUGCAAGUCGGGUGUGAAAGCCCUCAGCUCAACUGAGGAAGUGCGCCCGAAACUGCAGAGCUUGAGUACCGGAGAGGAUGGCGGAAUUCCCCAAGUAGAGGUGAAAUUCGUAGAUAUGGGGAGGAACACCCGUGGCGAAGGCGGCUCUCUGGAACGCAACUGACGCUGAGACGCGAAAGCGUGGGGAGCAAACAGGG
rnacentral:rRNA from 1 species